CCCUGCCGUCCUCGCUAACUAUUCUAAUCAUAAACAUUAUAUUUUCCCCUUCAAAAAGUGUGCAUUCCACAUUCGAAAUAAUUCGAAUAAUUUGUCCAAAGGGAUUGUAUUGCGUUUCUUAAUCGGUAGCUCCACAGGACCGGUUAACCUGCAAGUUUGUACUGUGUUUAGUAUUUACAUUAUAACACGUUCACUCGCUUAUCUAACGUUGUGAGAAACACACGUGUGAGACCGGACAGUGAUAGUGUGACAAGUGCUGCGAAGUGUGAUGCGGUAGCGAUUCUCUCGACAUGGAAAGCGCGGUGCAUGCGGCAGUGCCGCUGCGGGUUGGGAAAAAAAUGCGUAAGCGACGGGAGUUGGACGCUUUAGUGGGAGGUGGUGGUGCGCGAGGGGGAAGACUUCUCUCAGCGUCUAGUGACGAAGGAGAACCAUGGGCAAGGCGUGCUACCCGACGCCGUCGUUCUCGCCCUUUCGUUCGCCUGGCAGCUGCAUUGGCGCUGUGCGUAUGCGUCGUGUCAGCUGCGACCGUAUUAUGGCUCUUCGUGGAUGUGCGGAGACAGAUCGUUUCGCUCAGGAUUGAAAUGGACAGAGUGACAACAACAAACCAAGGUGUAGGUGACGCUCUACAAAUAUACCACACCGCAGCCAAAGAGCUACGCGCAAACGCCACAGAACUGAACGAGCGUUUGUCAAAAUUGGAACAUGAACAUCAGGAACUAGCGAAGAAAGUAGAACAAGCAAUAAAGAAACUAAUGUCUGUGUCCGAUCAACUUGACGCAGCGCCUGAAAUCAGUAAGACGCCGAAACUUGUCGGCGAAUUGCAGAUAACUAUCGCUGAUCUGGGAUCGCAAAUGAGAGGUUUCGACAGUGCAAUAGCGACAGCUCGAAAACAAGCAGCAACAGCCACAUCCGGCUUAGAAGAAGUAAAGACUUUACUUCAACAACUAGAGGCUCGUACCAACGAGACUAUUGCCAGUGUAUUAGCUAAUACGAAGAGAGAGAACGAGAUCGAACUGCAAGUUCAAGCUGUGAAUAACACUCUCGAUACUAAGCUAGAAACGUUGAGGACCAGAGUUGAAGUAAUGAAGCCGGAAACCACACCGGCCCCAUCUACCACGACGGUCACCACUCCCAGUAACACCUCGUCGUCAACCACGUCAUCGACCACCACCACUCCUCCCCCACCUCCUCCGGGACCGCCCGCAAAGCCGAACGUACUGCAAUGAGGGAACAAAUCAUUCUUGCGCUCGCGAGGUUGACUGGAUUGCUCACAUGAUCUCACGACACGUCCACAAGACAAAUAUACGGUCCAGUUUUGAUUAGUCAGCGAUAUUUUACUGGUGACGGAGCUCGUGGUGCAAAAAUAGUCUGUUUAUUAGGCUAAUUAUUAGUCCAUUACAAAUACUCCAUGGUAACGAGACUUAGUUCCGUAAAUACGAUUUCAUUUGUGGAACAGACUCCCUUCCCAUAUCCAGUCUAGCCCGUUCCGUAACCGAUCGAUCGCUUCUUUCAAGAAAAGGUUGACAGCGCGCUUUCUUGCUGAACUUUCUUCGUAAUCAUCUUAUUGUUUUUUUUACAUAUAGAUAUUGUAUGCUAUUUAUUACGGUUAAUUGUAAUACUUAUGUAACGGCAUUUUAUUUUCAUUUAUGUAGUUUAUUGUAUUCUCUUUCAUUCUCUCUUGCACGUUGUUGCCCGCUUAUAAUCUUAGCUUUCACUGCCCUGCGAUGUGUGGAAGAGAUUUAUUUUAGAGAUAAGUCCACCUUUGCUCACCGUCUGUUAAAUUAAAGUUUCUGUUGUAUUUAUUUGGUGCAAUAAAAAAUAUUAAUAAGAUGCAAUCGAGCAAUCGACAAGUCUGCAUUUAUUUUUUCGUCACAACUUUAAAGAAAUCUUCGAUAUUCAUUUUGUGAAUCAUGAUAUUAUAUUUAUGUUUACUAUCUAUUUCAUUCAUUAGGCACAAAUAUGUCUUGGACAUUAUGUUAGAAAGAUUUAUAUCUACGUCCAAAGUGACGGCAUAGACAAUAUAAAAACCGGCGUCAUGAAGUUUUACUAAUUGACCAAUAUCAAACGUGAAAGGAUCACUUAUUUAGCAGCAUUGUUCAACGGCGUGUCAUACGAAUGGCAUGUUCUAAUAUGGAAUGACAUUCUGAUAACACCACCCGACGAUGUAAAUGUCUUCUAAUACAAAAAUUUUGUCAUUAGGGCGCCUUCAUCAUCUAUGUUGUAAGAGUGCUGCAGUAGCGCCAUUUUUGCAGACUAGAUAUUGCAUGAAAAUUAGUAAUGGCGCGGUUGCCGCACUAUAGACGUCUAAUUUGAAGGCGCCGUUAGUAUGAACGCGGCAUAAUCGUACUGACAUAUGUGGCGUAACCCUAAGGUUGCAAUAAAAAAUGCCGAGUGAGAACUCGAUACCAAUGUAAAUAUUUAAUUAUAGAUUAAUUAUAACUUUUUAAUGAUAUAUAAUGAGGGAGGAAUAAUUAAUGUAUGUCACAAUUACUGGCUGUAGUAAGUUCUUGAAGCUUUUUAUGUUUUCGUUUUGCAGAGAUCUGUCAACUUUUACACAUUUAUAAAACCUUGUACAAUUAACCACAUAUUGAAGCACAUUAUAGAAAUCGCAUAAUUUGUAUGUUGAACAAAGUCCUGCCAACUUUCUAACGGGGUGCAUUAACAAAGUGCUCAUGUAGGGUUACACUCCACCAAAUAGCACGCAUCAACACCGUCCAUACUAAAUAUGUAUUUUAUUUGGAACAUUUGUGCGAUUGAUUAUACAAUUUUGAUUGAUUACUGACACACUUAUCGUGUGGCCCAAUGUACUUGAAUCUAUUUUUUCUGCUAUUCUUCUGUCCUAUAUUUUUUAUGAUUGAAUUAUGCAUUUUUAUUUGUUUAUAUUUUCUACGGUCAGUAAUUUUGGUACACUACAACGUGGUCGCACCGAGUGUUACAAUAUUGUAUGGAGAGUGUGUUUUAUUACUGUAAUAAAUUAUUGUUAAUAGAUCAAUUAUUACACUAUGUCUUGUUUCAUUUUAAACUAACUGUAUAAGAAGAACAAAAAAUUAUUUUAUUGAUUAUUUACGUCAUCAACAGACACAAAAUGUUACUCAAUUACAUACAUUCAAAAAAUAAAGGUGCUUUUCCACCGGCGGUGCAAGACGAGGAUUGAAAUUUGUAUGGCAAUCAAUUCUGUCCUAACGCAUCUUCGCUAAAAAUUAUCUGGAUGGGCGAGACGAGAAUCAUAAUAUUUAUUGGUGUAAUAUUGAACAGUAUUGCUGCCUACGAAUAGUUAAUUGAACUCUGCCUCGCACUGGCCCGAGUGAUCAAUCGUAAGAUUGUGAGGUACGUACGAUUUAAGAUAUAAAAAAUGUGGCUUUUCUGUAAAUAAUUGUAGAGUUCCCUGUAGUCGAAUUUUUAAAUUUAUCAACCAAGUGCUUUAUAGGUAUUUUUUAAUAUUUUUAUUUACUAUCGACAACCCCACCUCUCAAUGGCUGUUAAUGUCAACUCGCGAUGGUUAUUAAUGGCAUUUCUCAUCUCGUCGGUGGAAAAGCAAUUUAAUGGUGACAAAUGAAAGUAUAACUCUUACUACAUAGAACAAAAUUUAAAAGAACUUAUUUCUUGUAUAGACAGACACGAACAUUGUUGUCUAUAAACGAUACUAGCGCUGCC